CGACUGGUUUCGACUGAACUCCACGGGUCUUCUUUGAUGGACUGGACAAAUAUGUCCCGAGCCUGCUCGAAAUGUACAGAGCGAAGUAGCACCAGUGCAGACCUGCGUACCCUGCUUCAGCCCCUUGACAUACGAACUUCAAAUCAGAAGAGAAGAGCAGUUGCUUUGCUUGGACUUCCAUACUACCUGAAGGAGGAUCCUUCCAGUUUCGUCUGAGUCUGCGAGCCUGGCAGUUCAGAAGAGGAGGUCACAAAAGGAGUGGAC